GCAGUCGUGGCCGAGUGGUUAAGGCGAUGGACUAGAAAUCAAUUGGGCACAGGUUCAAAUCCUGCCGACUGCG
rnacentral:tRNA from 1 species